rnacentral:rRNA from 1 species
GACGAACGCUGGCGGCGUGCUUAACACAUGCAAGUCGAACGGAAAGGCCCUGCUUUUGUUGGGUGCUCGAUUGGCGAACGGGUGAGUAACACGUGAGUAACCUGCCCUUGUCUUUGUGAUAACUUCAGGAAACUGGGUCUAAUACCGCAUAGAAUCUCCUGCUGCAUGUUGUGGGUUGGAAAGUGUCGGCCGUUGGGGAUGUACUCGCUGCUUAUGCGCUGGUUGGUGUGGUAGUGGCUUACCAAGGCUGUGACGGGUAGGCGGCCUGAGAGGGUGAACGGCGACAUUGGUACUGAGAUACGGACCAGACUCCUACGGGAGGCAGCAGUGGGGAAUCUUGCACAAUGGGCGGAAGCCUGAUGUAGAAACGCCGCGUGCGGGAUGAUGGCUUUCGGGUUAUAAACAGAUUUCGAAUGUGCCGAAGAGUGAGUGACGGUACUGGAUAAAGAAGCAACGGCUAACUACGUG